CAACCCUCAAGCACUGCUUGGUGAUGGGGCACUACACCAUGUAAGCCCUGAAAUAUAGUGGCGGGCCCGCUGUGGUCUCGAGCGUAGUAAUACACCUCGCUUAGGGUAUCAUGACGGACCUCUGCCGUUAAACCCCCCACUCUAAA
rnacentral:misc_RNA from 1 species